rnacentral:lncRNA from 1 species
GCUAGGUUUUUAAUAUGAUGCAGUAACUGUGAGGAAAAUAUUCUAGCUUGAGAGCAUGCUGUUUCUGGAGAUUGUGAAAUACCACGUAUGUCCUCCAGGUGGCAGAGUUUCUGCUCUCAUUGAAUUUCUCUCCCCCAGAAAUUGAGUAGUUGCUUUUUUCACGAGUGUAACUGGCAUUGAUUAAAUUGUUACAGCUGGUCAAAUAGCCAAACUGACCCUAGAACAGUUUGUUCACUAAUGAUCCCACUCAAUGUAAAAUCCUAAGACAGAGAGGCUUCUCCAAGGAGCAAAUAAAACCGGUCAUCUGUAAGAUGGUUUCCGAGUUGCUGGGACUCGGGUCACCAUGACACAUGGUUGGUUGCUGAUUUCUUUCUCUGGUUGAUGGAUAGCUUGCCACUUGUUAGGAACUCUAAUGAUGCCUUUGUUUUUAAAAACACAUAACAGACCAGAUUCAAAAACCACAAAUAGGAAUAUUGAUCACACCUUUUGAGACACAAUUCCCUCAGUUACUUGAUGUUAACUUUUCAGGAGUCCCUGGCUUGUGGAAGCAACAGGUUGUGUUAAACAGGAAAGAAAAUUUUAUUUUAAAAUUGUGUUCAUUAUUGAGUAUGUGGGGGGUAGACAGCAACUUAUGGGAGUGCUGUGUUGUGUGGGUCCUGGGGAAUUGAACUCUGGGUCGCUAGAUUUGGUGGCACGUGUGUGUGUUACCUGUUAAGUCAUCGCACCAGCCCUACUGCAGUAUGACAGGGAGACACUUGUUUCUCAUGUCUAAGGAUAUCUAUUAUUCGUUUGUUUUCUAAAAUGCAUGAAAUGCCUGUUAACUCCCAAUUUUUCUUAUAUUAUUAGUGUGUGGGGGGGUGUUCAUCCAUAGUGUGUGUGUGUGUGUGUGUGUGUGUGUGUGUGUGUGUGAGUGUGAGAAGGUCAGGGGACAACUUGGACAACGGUAUAGAGUUGUGCGAGUUCCAGGCAUGGAACUCAGGUCACUAGCUUCUAGAGCAAGCAGCUUUAUCCACGGAGCCAUCUUUUGCUGGCCUCCUCAUCUUUCUUAUGGUUGUUACCUGUUUUCUUCCCACGUGGGAGAUUGGCUGGCCUGUGACCCACAGCUUCUUGCAGACUUCACUGCUGUGUGCGGUGGUGUAGUUUUAGAUGAAUUACUGAAAUCGUGGAGUAAGUGUUUUCAGAGGGGAGCUGUGAAAUGAUGUUGAGAUAAACAAGGCUGGGGGAUGUCGCGCAUGAUGUCUCGUGGCCUCUUUUCCCACCAGAGAGAAAACCAGAGCCAUUCCUAUGGGCGAAGACUUGAGAGCAGCUUCACCCUAACAGGACAGCCUGUGGUACCCUGCCUCCUUGCUCGUGGUGCGUUUAUUUGUUGUAUUCUCUUCCCACGCUGCCUGAGUUUGUGUGAUGAGUGAAUGAUGUGGCUAAUUUCAUUAAUAAGAACUUUGAUUAAAUCUGUGAGUUCUCUAACGUUCUUUUCUGAGAGUUGGAGUAGUCACUAGAGAGUUGUGGUCAGGACUCUCAAGUUUUACGCAUCAAAGCCAUCUAUCUGGCUGUACUUUCAGAAAUAGUUAUUAACAUAUACUUUUGCUUCUUAAAAUACUUAUUUACCAGUUUUUCCAUCAGUCAUACAAACCACAGAGAGGCUUUUUUUCUUUCUUUUUUUUAUGCAAUUACUGUUGCCCUGUGUUUCCUGCUUUAUUUUCAUGUUUUUAAACUGCAGAGCGAGGUAGUAGAAAGGCAGAGUUGCUUGAGAUACAGGUUGAUGACUUUGCUAGUAGAAUUCUUCACAGUCUGAAGCCCCCUGAGGGGAAAGGUGACAGUCACCUACAGCAUAUGCAUCUUAAAAAUGCUUCCAUUUGGGUCUCUGGAGAUGGCGCAGUCAGU